rnacentral:rRNA from 1 species
GAAAUCCGGGAGGAGGGUGGAUUACCCUCCACCCGUGGAAUUGUGCCCCCCCCCAAUUUUUUAUUGUCCCCCCCCCGUUCCCCAAUUUUGGGGAAAGGCGGAGGCGAASGAAUKCAGUUCCCAGGCCAAACGUCAGUGGGCCCCCGUUAAUCCAGAAUGCSGAACCAGCCCGGUUUGCAGGGGCAUAAGAUAUGGUCGGCCCCCUGGGGAAACCCAGGGGAACAAGCGUAAAGGAAUUGCGGAAGGGCACCCAAAGAGUGGAACCUGCGGCUUAUCCAUUAGGCCCAGUUGGGGGUGCACCUGACACGCAUAUUGUGAUUCUUUGUACGAGCGUUCAGGUAAGGGUUAGUUACAUUGUGAUUCUUGUAUUAAAAAAAAAAUGGAUGCAGAUAUGCAUUGGUCGGCUAGUCGACCUCCCAUUGCAAAGGUUGAGUGGGGAGGCGGCAAGACAACCUGGAACGAGGGAACUCUGAGGUCAAUGACUGGCUGGGUCAGCAGGGUCUACACUCAGACAAUCUCGUGGCGAGCUACUGGUGGGCAACUGCCAGAUAGCCGUCGUAACGCACGGUAAGGUGUCGGGUGCUCUCAUUGAUUUGUUUGGUCGUGAGGUGCCUUAAGGAACGUGCUACUCCCACCCGCGAGGGUGCUCAUAAGUAAGCUCUCAACCAGCCCAGAUAUGAGGGCCUUAGAUCCCUAUCACAAAUGGUAGGGGGAGGCUGGUAUUAAGGUAAUUUGACUCAACACGGGAAAACUCACCAGGUCCAGAUACUAGUAUGAAAGCCAAGCUGAAAGACUUUGCUCAAUUAUGUAAGUGGUGGUGCAUGGCCGUUCGUGGUUCGUGAAUUGAUUUGUCUGGUUUAUUCCGAUAACGAGCGAGACCCUAUCGUUCCUAAUAGGGGUCGCAGCCAAGCUAACCGCAAGGUCAGCUAGCUGCGAUCUGAGAUAACUUCUUAGACGUAUCAGAGCCGAUAAGGUUCUUGAAAUGGGUUAAUAACAGGUCAGCAUGCCCUUAGAUGUUCUGGGCCGCACGCGCGUUACAAUGGAACGUAAAGCGAGUGCUGCAAUAGUGAUCCCGGGGCCGAGAGGCUUUGGUAACCAUCAAAACGUUCCCUGCCUGGGACAGAUCAUUGAAAUUAUUGGUCUCUAACGAGGAAUUUUUAGUAGUCGUAGGUCAUUAACCUGCGACGAAUGCG